AUUGAACGCUGGCGGCAGGCCUAACACAUGCAAGUCGAACGCGUGGCGGACGGGUGAGUAAUGUCUGGGAAACUGCCCGAUGGAGGGGGAUAACUACUGGAAACGGUAGCUAAUACCGCGUACCAUCGGAUGCGCCCAGAUGGGAUUAGCUUGUAGGUGAGGUAACGGCUCACCUAGGCGACGAUCCCUAGCUGGUCUGAGAGGAUGACCAGCAACACUGGAAUGGAGACACGGGCCAGACUCCUACGAGAGGCAGCAGUGGGGAAAAUUGCACAAGGGGUGAAAGCCUGAUGAAGCUAUGCCGCGUGUAGGAAGAAGGCCGUCGGGUGGUAAAGUACUGUUAGCGGAGAAGCGUUACCCGCAGAAUAAGCACCGGCUAACUCCGUGCCAGACGCCGCGGUAAUAC
rnacentral:rRNA from 1 species